rnacentral:rRNA from 1 species
CCUACGGGAGGCAGCAGUGAGGAAUAUUGGUCAAUGGACGAGAGUCUGAACCAGCCAAGUAGCGUGAAGGAUGACUGCCCUAUGGGUUGUAAACUUCUUUUAUAUGGGAAUAAAAUGUUCCACGUGUGGGAUUUUGUAUGUACCAUAUGAAUAAGGAUCGGCUAACUCCGUGCCAGCAGCCGCGGUAAUACGGAGGAUCCGAGCGUUAUCCGGAUUUAUUGGGUUUAAAGGGAGCGUAGGUGGAUUGUUAAGUCCGGUGUGAAAGUUUGCGGCUCAACCGUAAAAUUGCAGUUGAAACUGGCAGUCUUGAGUACAGUAGAGGUGGGCGGAAUUCGUGGUGUAGCGGUGAAAUGCUUAGAUAUCACGAAGAACUCCGAUUGCGAAGGCAGCUCACUGGACUGCAACUGACACUGAGGCUCGAAAGUGUGGGUAGCAAACAGGAUUAGAUACCCGAGUAGUC